CCUUGCUUCAGUGCUUCCGUUAUUCAACAGUAACAACAAACUGCAACACUAGGUUUCCAUAAGCUGAUUCUUCAGCACCUAAGGACACUGGCAGAGGAUGUCAGACAAUAGCAGUACCAGACUACAGUAACCUGAAACAUAUUAAUGCAGUUAACUAAUGGAUCUCAUGAGGACAUGGCUCUGCCAGAGGACAUUGUGCUUCCUCUGAAGAACAAGCUGAUGCUGGAGGAGCUUGAAUAUCUGCUUGCUGAAAAUGUAGAGCUUCAGGAGAAAAUGCUCAUUUAUACAAUUAGUAAAUGGUGAGGACUCUGUGAGGAGGAUAUUUUCCUGCAUUUUUUCGAAUGACCUGUGCAAGCUAUGCAACUGGACCGGCAUGGGACAGAAGAUUGCUGUUAGGCAGCUAGCCUUAAAAAAAAAAAAAUUGUUCACAGAGCCAUAAGAAAGAAACCCACUACAAAAGAGGCAACAGAGGAGGAGCCUCCAAGAGGUGGUCUCACUUUCUAAAAAGAGCUGCUGACAGGGAAGGUGGUAGAAAAUAAAGAACUGAAGAGCUUAAUUGCAUCAUACACGUCAAAUAUACAAAACAGAACUAAAAGAAAUAAAGCGUUCCUUUACUCAAGAAAUUAUUUUCGGGGCCUGGGUAGCUCAGUGGUAUAAUACGCUGGCUACCACCCCUGGAGUUCACUAGUUCGAAUCCCAGGGCGUGCUGAUUGACUCCAGCCAGGUCUCCUAAGCAACCAAAUUGGCCUGGUUGCUAGGGAGGGUAGAGUCACAUGGGGUAACCUCCUCGUGGUCGCUAUAAUGUGGUUCAUUCUCAGUGGGGCGCACGGUGAGUUGAGCGUGGUUGCCGCGGUGGAUGCCGUGAAGCCUCCACACGCGCUAUGUCUCCGUGGCAAUGCGCUCAACAAGCCACGUGAUAAGAUGCACGGGUUGACCGUCUCCGAAGCAGAGGCAACUGGGAUUCGUCCUCCGCCACCCGGAUUGAGGCGAAUCGCUACGCGACCGCGAGGACUUAAAAAGCACAUUGGGAAUUGGGCAUUCCAAAU